AGUGGUCAUCAGCAAGUGUGGAGCCAAACGACAACAAGAUUCUCAGAGGGCGGAGCAAGAGAGCAGCGAUUGGUCAGACCAUAUAUAGAAGACGGCGCGCUAGCGGAUCUAGUCUACUAUAUAUAGCUAUGGUUGGCAAGCAUCUCUGGCUGUUGUUGACCUUGUUUUUGGAGUAAAACACGGUGGAAGCUGAAUUAGUGAGGAUGACUCCUGCUCCUGUCAUCUCUAAGCUCCUCACACAUCUUUACCUGCACAUGAGGAAAAUCACUCCUGUAGAAUGCAGUGGUUCAUCAGAACCUCUGGGGAUGUCCUGUGGAUUCUGUGGAUCCUGUGGGUUGCAGGGUGGGUCCUACCUAGACCAGGCUGAUCCUGGACCAUCCCACAGAUGCUCCAUCAGAUCUGGAUGUGGGGAGUGUGGAACCCAGAUGUUCAGAGGGAGAUGAUGCCACAUCUGGUCCAGCCGAUGGAAGGUCUUGAAGUUCUCCGACUGGCCUCGACUGAAGAUGGUCGUCUCACUGGAUUUAAGGUUCAGAUGCUCAGUAACAAACUCCACCAAUGAGCCAACAGGGAAGCUUUAGGUUUAUUAAAUGUUGCUAUGAAGGUAUCGCUGUUUUUCUUUGUGAAUGCAAUGUGCUCCAACUGAAAGUUGAAUUAGAACUUUGAAGUAAAUCCUUCCAUCUUAAAGGAUUUAGUUGCAUUAAUAACCUCAUAACAUUCUAAUUUUUAUUCCAGUCUUGGUUGGAAAUAGAAUCUCUGUAUUGAUUCAGGUAAAAACUGUACUUCACAGCAUGUUGGAGCAAAACAACCAGAUGAAAACUGUGAUGGUGUUGGAUUGUCAGACCGUAAUGUUGCAGCGCAAAGCAGCUUUUCUAGCUCAGUUCAUUCUGACAUUCAGCUAUGAAUCAACACAGCAGAUGGUGAUCCAUGCUGUGGAAGUCUCACAUCUCCUGAUUUAAUGGAGCUGCUUUGCACUUUUUACACUGUUUAUUCACCAACACUUUAUUUAAUAAAAGUCCCAUCUAGUUUUUAUGAGGAAUGUGGUGUUUUAAUUUCUCUGUGAAUAACUGCAGUCUAAUGUAACACCUGGAAUUGUAACAUCUGUCCUGAUAUUGAUCAUGAAGUAUUGAUCAGAAUACUUAUGGUUAGCAGUCAUCCCUGAAGUUUUACAGUAAAAUCUUUACUUGUGUUGUGAACUUUGGUAAGAAGCAGAAACUUUUGCGUUGCCAUGGAUACAUGAGUGUUAAAUUCUGUCCAUGGUUCCAUUUUGGGAAAUGAAGUCCAGGAGAUGAGUUUGUUUUUACUGCCAGCUACCAUUCAGUCUGAGAUAUUAAGAAUAAAUAAAUUAUUCCUACAGCUACUACAGGGAAAGUUCCAGACUGUGGAGGAAUUUAGUCUCAUAAUCACAGACAACAAAUAUUAUCUGAAAGUCGGGUUAUUGUUUAUCAGCACAAUACAAAAAGAUUAAUGUUAGAAAUAUUCCGGUUAAGACUCUAGAAUAUCAUGAUUUAUGUAAAUUUACCUCAAUAAUAUGAAUGUUCAGGUUAAGUUUGUGCACUGAUAUUUAUUAUGUAAGUUUAGCUGAUUAAAGUUGAUGACUCUGCACUACAAUAUUAUUUAUUAUUUAAAUUUACAUCAUUAUUAUAUUUAGGGUCAGACCCUACAGUAUUGAGAUUAAGAAAUCAAAUAUUCUAUAAAAUGUAAAUGCACUGAACUCAUUUGGAUAUAUUUAAGUGAGACUCUACAAUAUUAUUUGACACAAAUCUAUCUAAAUCAAAAUUUUAAUCAUUUUUACUCCAAACGUUGACUAGACUGAAACAUUAAAAUCACUCCUUUCUAAUACUCUGCUGUAUGUUCAAACCUGAGGCCUGAAAUAGAAAUGUACAAGUAUCUGAUUGAAGGAACUUCUGCAGAGUCCUGGUUCUAGAACAUGAUGAUAGAAUUAUAGACAAACUUUAACAAAAGCUGCCUGAGAGUUUACAGGUUUUUAUGUUAGAUUUCUUCUGUAAUUUAAUGAGUUAUCAGCAAUAAUCAAGUGUUUAUUUGAUGAACUUCAUUUCCUAAAACAUCCAGAAUUGGAGCUCAUAUCUUUGGCAGCUGUAAAGUUUCUGCUCCUUCAAAGUUCACAACACAAUGAAUGAAUUCCUAAAACACUCUUAAUGCUGGAGAGCGUUUGUGAUGCUGAAGCAGUGAUCAGUUUUUCUGUUUCUUCUCUGGAGAUGCACAAUGAGGGACGUCUGCAGAGACUGAGAAAGAGUCUCACCACAUCCUGACAUGAGGAAAAAAGACUUUAUUGAAGACUACAAUGAGAAAAACUAUCAGACAGCAGACGGCUGCAUUCAAGGUGAGCUCUGAACAUUUGAUCUGGAACAGGAAUUCAAUAACGGCAGCAUGAGCUUCAUUUCAGUCUGUAGCUGCUGAAUUCAUGGAUGAAUCAUCUGGCACUGGAGAAGAAGACCAUCAAACAUCCACGUCAGCUGAUGGAGGUCCAAGAGUCUCACCAAACAAACAACCUACAGAGUGAAGACCUCGAAUCUGAUUGGACGGCCUCCUAUUCAGCCACAUGCUACAGGAGGAGCCCUACGAGGACGAGCCGGUCCACCUGAUGGCAGCCAGUCGCUGUGGUUCAAAGCCAACACCGACUACGUGGACUUCUACUGGACCACACGGAGGCCUUCAAACCAGACCAACAAGUUCAGCGACUCCCCGACUCGUGGGUCUGAGGACGCCACCGAGCCUCGACCCAGCCGGCCUCCUGUCUGUGGAUGUUUGAGUGCUGAGAGGUUUGUGGAUGCAUGUGAAUGUGUCUGUGUUGAAACAGCAGCUUUGGACUCAGUAACGCCGGGAAAAACCAAGAGCUCCUUUAUUUGUGACUUCCACUAAAAAACUGAUGAAAAUAAGUUUGCCAGGGUUCUGACUGAUAAUAGAUUAUUAAAUAAUGAAAAUAACAGUUUAAAUAUUCCUUUAAACAAUCCUUUUAGGUCUACAUUUCCUUUACACUGACUUCUUGGAAUAUGUACAAGUAUUUUGAGUGGACUAUACCAUUAAGCCCAACGUUCAAGGGUUCUUCUGGGAAUAUACCAUUAAACCAACCUUUUAGGUAAAUGUUCCAGGAUGUUGGGUAGAAUAUACCAUCAGAUAAACCUUUUAGGUCUACAUUGGAAGAUUUUAGAGUAGAAUAUUACUCCAAACCAUCCUGUAGGUCUACAUUUAAGGUGGAAUACUCUUUACACCAAGAUUUUUUGGUCUACAUUGAAGGAUUUUAGGUGGAAUAUUCCUUUGAACAAACUUUUUAAGUUUAUGUUCCAGGAUGUUGGGUAGAAUAUACCAUCAGACCGACCUCCAAGGUCUACAGUAGUGAAUUUUAGGUGGAAUAUACCAUUAAACUCACCUUUUAGGUCUACAUUGGAAGAUUUUAGGUGGAAUUUUCUUCCAAACCGUCUUUUAGUCUACAUUUAAGCAUGUUUAGGAUGGUAAAUUCUUCCAAACCAACUUCUCAGGUCUACAUUUCAGGUGGAAUAUUCCUCCAUACUAACUUUUUUGGUCUGCAUUGAAGGAUUUUUUCUAAACCACACUUUCUGGUCUCUAUUUGAGGAUUUAGGUGGAACAUUCCUUUUAACCAGCCCCUCAGGUCUCUUUGAGGAUCUUGGAUGGAAUACUCGGUUAAACCAACAUUUUAGGUGCAUGUCCAAGGAUUUUUGGUGGAAUGUUCCUUUAAGUUGAAUGUGUGAGGACCUUGUAGGUGGAAUACUUCCUGAAACCAGCCUUUUAGGUCAACAUUCAAAGAUUUAAGGUGGAAUAUUCCUUUAAAUCAACCUAAAUUUCAUGUUUUGAUCAUUAUCAAGUGAGAAACCUCAAUCCAGACUCCUCAUAAUGACGUUUGGGAUUUAUGCUGCUGUUAUUUGUUUAGUCCAGACUAAA